rnacentral:rRNA from 1 species
GACGAACGCUGGCGGCGUGCCUAAUACAUGCAAGUCGAACGAGAGCGACCGGUGCUUGCACUGGUCAAUCUAGUGGCGAACGGGUGAGUAACACGUGGGUAACCUGCCCAUCAGAGGGGGAUAACAUUCGGAAACGGAUGCUAAAACCGCAUAGGUCUUCGAACCGCAUGGUUUGAAGAGGAAAAGAGGCGCAAGCUUCUGCUGAUGGAUGGACCCGCGGUGCAUUAGCUAGUUGGUGAGGUAACGGCUCACCAAGGCCGUGAUGCAUAGCCGACCUGAGAGGGUGAUCGGCCACAUUGGGACUGAGACACGGCCCAAACUCCUACGGGAGGCAGCAGUAGGGAAUCUUCCGCAAUGGACGCAAGUCUGACGGAGCAACGCCGCGUGAGUGAAGAAGGUUUUCGGAUCGUAAAACUCUGUUGUUAGAGAAGAACAAGUGCUAGAGUAACUGUUAGCGCCUUGACGGUAUCUAACCAGAAAGCCACGGCUAACUACGUGCCAGCAGCCGCGGUAAUACGUAGGUGGCAAGCGUUGUCCGGAUUUAUUGGGCGUAAAGCGAGCGCAGGCGGUUCCUUAAGUCUGAUGUGAAAGCCCCCGGCUCAACCGGGGAGGGUCAUUGGAAACUGGGGAACUUGAGUGCAGAAGAGGAGAGUGGAAUUCCAUGUGUAGCGGUGAAAUGCGUAGAUAUAUGGAGGAACACCAGUGGCGAAGGCGACUCUCUGGUCUGUAACU